AGUGAUUGUCCUGCCCCAUGCUAAGUACUAGUGCCGCAGGUGUCUGUUUAUUGUACCCCUGCAGACUGGUGCUUAACGUGGAACAGGUAAUAAUGCCACCC
rnacentral:pre_miRNA from 1 species